CCCGUUCCGGGAGCCAGUACAGGGCCCCAGACAGGCCAGGUACAACAAGCACCUGUCAAAGGCAAGGUGUGUUGUGGAGAGGGCCUUCGGGAUGAUGAAGACCAGGUGGAGAUCCAUCUUUCUGAAGGCCCUUGAGAUUGUGCUGAGUGCUGCGACACCUGUGGAAUUGAAUGGAUGCUCCUGUUCAUGUGCUGCUGGAGAGGCGUUAUGCAACCACGUGGUUGCACUCCUUUUCCAGACACAACACUACCAAUUCACAGGGGAGAAAAGCGUGCCAACACCUCUGUCGUGCACCAGUGUUCUGCAGUCGUGGCACCGACCAAGGACACAGGUUAAUGUGUAUCCCUCAGGCCUAGCCAAACAUCCUGUAUAGUCUACUCAAUAAUAGUAUUUUAAGUUCUAGUUUAUAGACAGACGUGACUAACACUGACUUAAGUGUUGCCUCACUGAUAAUAUGAUUUAUGUGCUGAUAUCUUUUUUCUUUUUGCUCCAGGGGAUUCGCCCGGAACCCACUGACCAACUUGUGGUCAGAAAACCCAAGGCAGUUGGACGCACUAGCGUUAAAUCAACGCUUUAUCGAGCCUACCCAGGUAAUGUAGUUUAUCAUUUUAUUAAUUAGGACAGAAAUAUAUGCUCUAUAAAUUCAGAAGAGGUGGCGCACACAGGUCCUUUGUUAUAUCAUAUAUUUAAAAUAUUUAAUGAUUAAUGUUUCCUGUUACUUGUGUGCGUAUGACCCCUUCCUGACCCUGCGGUGCUGUCUGUCGGAGAUGACCUGCGAGACCUUCUACCUCAACCGGGAAUUUGCAAGAUCGUAUGUGACCUGGCCGACCUUACCUUAGUGGACUCUAAGUUUGGACCAGUCCCUCAUGGUUCGGUUCUUUCCUAUCAAUGCCCCCCAGAAAUAUCCAAAGAAAUUAUUAAGCACCCAGAAGCCCCCUCAUUCCCACAACUCCCCUUGUUAGGCUAUACAUUUGAACGACCCCUACAAUUUGUUUCCACAUACCUCCAGUUCCAUCACCUUCAGACUUUAGAAGUCACCUCUGAAUUGGCCACUUUAAUUCAAGAGCACACAAGGGAGCAGUCAGAGAAUCCUAUGUGGAAGGAAGUCCGGCUGCCCCGUGUAACUUCCAGUAGGUUUGGGGAAGUGGUUGCUCUGAGAGGGGAGUCCUCUGCUCAGGCUCUCGCACUGAGGAUCAUAAAGGGGGGAAGGCAAACACCUGAAAUGAAAAGGGGUCUCGACCUCGAGCCAGCAGUGUUGCGACAGUACAGUGACAUGUUUAAUGUAAAUGUCUAUCCUUCUGGAUUUGUUGUCCAUCCUGAGGCGUUUUACCUCGGGGCUAGCCCUGAUGCCAGGGUGUAUGAUCCCACUGCAACCCCCCCCUUUGAUUUAGCUGAAGUCAAAUGUCCAAAUGUGGACAGUAUAACAGAGGUCAAGCAUGUGAAGUUUGUGAACGGUAAGGCCAAACUUAAAUACACCCACAGAUACUACCGGCAGGUGCAAGGCCAGAUGGCCAUCACUGGUUUGUCGUGGUGCGAUUUCAUUACGUCAACAAAAAAUGACCUGACAGUGGAAAGAAUUUGGCAUGAUGAAUCAUUCAUUAAUGAGAUGAAAGUUAAAUUAGAUCUGUUUUAUUUUAACACGUACAUGGACACAUACCUCCUGAAUGCCAAGUAAAUAUGGCCGAGGGACACACACACCCCGAUUUUUCUCUCUCCAGAUCUGCUGUUGCAGAUUGUCAUGUUGCGUUUUAUAUCUGCUGUUGCAGAUUCUGUUCUCAUAUUUUGUUCCUUAAUCCACUGAUGUUAAUGUGGUAAACUGUGUUCUCACAAUUUAGUAGUCUGUUAAAUUUAAAUAUGUAUAUAUUAGUGCUGUCAAACGUUUCAAAUAGUUCAUUGCGAUUAAUCACAUUAAUGUCAUAGUUAAUGCACAAUUAAUCGCAAAUCUUUUUUCUAUGCUAAAUAUCCCUUGAUCUUUUUGUCCCAUUAAUUGUUCUCAUUUUAAUGCUCUUAUCAACAUGGAGAAGUGCAUCGGCUUGCCUUGUGCAAAUGUUUUUUUUGAUAACAACAUUAGCAUAUACUGAUCAAAACAGGACGAUACAAAAAAAUAAAGCCUAUAGUGCAAUUAAACAAUGAACAUACAAACAUACUGCCUUGAACAUAGCAGUCAGGCUACUGCUUCUUUGUUUUGAGCCAAAGAAAAAAAAUACUAAAUUAAUAACGCAUUUAACUGACAGCACUAGUAUAUAUGUAAAAUUAAAUUGUAAUUAAAGAAUUGGAAACGAACAUUCCUGAACAUUUUAACGUAACACACAGAACAUUUCUUUCUGUAACAUGUAAAUAUAUAUAUAUAUAUGUAAAAUUACAUUUUAAUCAAAGAAUUGGAAUCGAACAUUCCUGAACAUUUGUUUAAGGUAACACACAAUUUCUUUCUGUUAAAUGUAAAUAUGUAUAAAUGUAAAUGUAUAUUUAUAAAAAGAACUGGAAACGAACAUUUGAAAAGGACACAAACCAUUUCAUUUCUGUUAGAACUAUUAGUUUCAUUUCAACAAAGAACAUUAAUAAACGUUUGAAAAUA
ensembl:lncRNA